AGAAUCAACGCUGGCGGCGUGCCUAACACAUGCAAGUCGAACGGGAAAGUGGAGCAAUCCAUGAGUAUAGUGGCGACCGGGUGAGUAACACGUGACUAACCUACCCUUGAGUGGGGGAUAACCUCGGGAAACCGGGCUAAUACCGCAUAACAUCUUCGGGAUGAGAAGCUGAAGAUCAAAGGAGCAAUUCGCUUUCGGAGGGGUCGCGGCUGAUUAGCUAGUUGGCGGGGUAACGGCCCACCAAGGCUUUGAUCGGUA
rnacentral:rRNA from 1 species